AGCGGAAGGAGGGCCUUCCUUUCGCUUUGCCCCUGUGGUUGCUAGGCGCAGCUACGGCAGGGCGGGAGGGACAAACUGCAAACGUCACGUGACCGAGAGGGCUGAGGGCCGCCUCUUCGCGAUGCUGCGAUGGCUGAUAGGCGGGGGACGCGAGCCUCAGGGCCUGGUCGAGAAAUCUGUGCAGCCCAUUGGUGAAGAGCAAACACAGAAUCCUUAUACGGAGCUCCUUGUAUUGAAAGGUCAUCAUGACAUAGUGCGAUUUUUAGUGGCAAUAGAUGAUUAUAGGUUUGCAUCUGCUGGUGAUGAUGGAAUUGUGUGCUUGUGGAAUGCUCAGACUGGAGAGAAACUAUUUGAGCUACAUGCGCACACACAAAAAAUUACAGCCCUUGCAGCUUUUCCUCUGUCAGAUACUUGUGAAGAAAAAUGUCACAUGAUUUUGACAGCAGGUGCUGAUAGGACCGUUAUAAUAUGGGAUUGUGACAGUGGCAGGCAAAUUCACAAAGUAUCCUGCUUUCAUUCUACUGUAAAGUGUUUGACAGUUCUUCACAGAUUGGAUGUAUGGCUGUCAGGAGGGAGCGAUCUUUGUGUUUGGAACCGAAAAUUAGAUCUCUUGUGUAAGACAAGCCAUCUUAUUGAUGCAGAUAUUACUUCUAUGAUUGAAUUACCAAAAAACUGUGUGGCAGCAGCUGUUGGCAAAGAAUUGAUAAUUUUUAGACUGAAAACUUCCAGAGAUGGAACUGAAUGGGAUGUCUUUGAAGUGAAACGCCUUAUUGACCAUCAGGACAGUAUUGUGUCAUUGGUCAGUGUCAGCGAAGUGAUGUUUGCCACUGGUUCCCACGUGGGAGAGCUAAUCGUAUGGGAUUCAUUAGAUUGGACCAUGCAGGCUUAUGAAUGCAAUUGGGAUACAUCUCUUCAUGCCGACCCACAACAAGAAAUAAAAUUAUCACACAGUCAAAGUGAAGUGUCAGUUCAACAUUUAGCUUCUGAUGAGGAGUGUGUCUUUGCUGCUGUUGGAAAGGGCAUAUACGUGUAUAACCUUCAGAUGAAGCGUGUGAUUGCCUUUCAGAAGACUGCUCAUGACUCCACCGUUCUACACAUUACAACAGUUCCAAACAGCAGGCAAUUAAUCUCCUGUUCAGAAGAUGGCAGUGUUCGCAUAUGGGAAUUACGAGAGAAACAGCACCUCACAGCGGAGCCGGUUCCCUCAGGUUUUUUCAGUAUCUGGGGAUUUGGAAGGACAAACAAGCAAGCCAGUCACCUAGCUAAGAAGGCACCAGAGAGCACCACUGUUUUCUCCUUGGAUCUUAUUGGGGAUUUGAUUGGCCAUUCUUCAGCAGUACAGAUGUUCCUGUACUUCACCGAACAUGGCCUGGCAACCUGCUCUGCUGAUAACUUUAUUAUCUUGUGGAAAGAUGGAGAACGGGAAUCUAGACUGCGCAGCUUAAUGCUAUUUCAUAAAUUGGAACAAAGUGAAGAUUUGCAGCUUAGGAGCUAAGACGCCUUAAAUGUGAAUAACUGUGUGGAAGUAUGAGUGAACGAAAUACGAACUCUGAGAUGACAUUUCCUGCAGUUCUUUAAUAAUUACUUAUUCUUGGAAUAAACCCAUCAGUGAAUUUUAUGCUGAUAGAACAUUUGCUCCUGGGUUUGCUGAAUUCUUGCUACUCGGCGUCAGCUCCUGAUUUGCAGCCCAUUUGAUGCUGGCAAACCUGUCUCCAUGUCCAAAGAAGCAACAUUGGAAGAGACAGAUUUUCUACUGGAAGAAUUGCAUGAAUCAAAUGCAUGGACUAUGUGAGUGUAAUACUCAGAAGAACUGUGACUGUAUUAUUGGUUUGUGCUGAAGUCGUUGUUUUCUUGAACUCUGCUUGUAUAAGAGUAAAUUUGAGUUUUGCAUUCUUC